rnacentral:rRNA from 1 species
GAUGAACGCUAGCGGGAGGCUUAACACAUGCAAGUCGAGGGGCAGCACGAGGUAGCAAUACUUUGGUGGCGACCGGCGCACGGGUGAGUAACGCGUAUGUAACCUACACUGUACAGGGGGAUAACCCGGAGAAAUUCGGACUAAUACCCCAUAAAGAUAUUGAGAGGCAUCUUUUGAUAUUUAAAGUUCAGGCGGUACGGGAUGGGCAUGCGUAACAUUAGCUAGUUGGUAGGGUAACGGCCUACCAAGGCUACGAUGUUUAGGGGUCCUGAGAGGGUGAUCCCCCACACUGGUACUGAGACACGGACCAGACACCUACGGGUGGCAG